GCGUCUGGUGCCGGGGUUUCACGGUGCCAGCCGAGCCCCACAGCGGAUCCACUGGCCCGUAAAGUCCCGACGCCCGGCGC
rnacentral:pre_miRNA from 1 species